UGUUUAUCAAAAACAUUUCCACUUGUAAUAUUUUGUGGUAGUGCCUGCCCGAUGUUUUAUCAAUGGCCGCAGUAUCUUGACUGUGCUAAGGUAGCAUAAUUAAUUGCCUCAUAAUUGGAGGAUUGUUUGAAAGGUUUGACCAGGUAUUUUAUAUAGAUGGGGGCUUAUAUCGAAAUUGGGGUGCCUAUGCAGAUUUUGGCGUUCUUAAAUAAGACGGAAAGACCCCGAGAGCUUGACACUAUUUUGUGUUUAUUUGGGGUAAAGGCAUGUGUUUUAUAUGUUUUUUGAUCCUUUUGGAUUGUAGGUUUGAGUUACCUCGGGGAUAACUAGGUGAGAGAUAAGGAGAGGCCUUAUCGAUUUAUCUGAUUGCCAUCUCGAUGUUGACUUGGGGUAGUUGUGGAGGUGCAGGAGUUUUCAUAAUAGGUCUUGUUCGACCAUUAUUCCCCUCAUGAAUCU
rnacentral:rRNA from 1 species